rnacentral:lncRNA from 1 species
CAUUUUUAAGACCUGCCCCCCACCUUUGUGGAAGGACUUGGGGGCAUUCAUCAAGUCUGCAAUGCGUUUAUUCAUUGCUGUAGUUCAGAGCUUUCUAAACGAAUAGGAACCUAUUAUUUACAUCCGUUCCUUGCACAGAUAUUUAUUAUCUGUAGGAAUAUUUAAGAGUCUGUAUUUGGCUGGCCACCUUUGACAGGCGCCGUCACCUCACACUCUCGGGUAAUGGACCACACUGUGGCUGCAUUUAAUUUAUUGGGGUGAGAAGUUACUGCGGGAGGUUUCCAAAGGGGGCCUUUGCCACGAAGAGGCAGGCCCCGGCCCAACCCGAUGAUGAAUCUGAGACGCAAAGGAGCUGAGAUAGCUCCAGGGGAGAAGAAACACAAUUGAAGAGAGCAUAUCAUUAUGAAGUGCCAAGCCUGGCUGUCCCUGGCAGAAAUGCAACAGAGACUAGGGAGUGAGAGAGACAGGCAAGCAAAAGCUGUAGCAGAUGGUCAGGAGAAGCCCACGGAAGACUCUGCUAGUGAUGGCUCCCUAUUCAGAUCCAAGGGCUGGCGCGGGAGGUAUCAGUGGAGAUAGGAGCACGCCAUCCUCAGCCUCACAGGUUGCUUCGGUUUGAAUUUCAACGAGGGGAGCCUGCCAAGAUCAGGCAGUAAAAUACGGACUGGAUCAUAAAUCCCAGCAGGGGUGGGAGAGCGUAAGACAGAUUGCUAACACCUUUAAAAAGAAAUUUUAAACAAAAAAGGUAGGAAUUUGCUUUAAAGUAUACCAGGCCCAGGAGGGACUGGGAGAGACAAGCCGUCUGAACGUGGGAGCUGGUUUGCCUCCCCAAUAGCACUUCUCUGAGGACUCCAACCCAUAGAAAGUUCUUCUGGCAGGCGAAGCAGGCCCCAUGGGCUCUUCAUCCAAAGCCAGCGAUGUUUCUCUGGGAUGUGUCUUGGAGAUAAGGCAGAAAUACUCUCAAAUGAGCACCUUCCAAAAAGUCGAGUCUUUCUGCAUCCUUCCCUCUGGAGUGACCGCUCAUGCCGCUCAUCAAAGUCUCCUUUCAUCAGCGCCAGGCCACGGGAAAUAAACGCAACUGGGAGCAAGGAGCUUGAAGCUGUAAGAAGAAAGCCAUGUGUUUCCUUCCUAAGACUAAAAUGAUUUCCCUACGAGGAAUAAAGAGCUUUUACAAACUUUCUGCAUGGAUACGUCUUGGAGGGGCGCACGCUGAUUUCUCUCACACCCGCACUGUGCACCAAGUGGAGAAACAGAAGCCCUUAUUUGCUUGGUUUUGUAACAGGUUCACUAUAUUUGAGCAUAGACAGAAAAGUAGACGGCCUUAUAACAGAGCUUAUUAUUACCCCGAUUUGGAUAAACCACAGGUCACAUCACGUCGGCUGAAACAUAACCG